GAACUAAGGUUCGGAUGGCUGCUAUAUAUACUCAUAUUUAGAAAGCCUGUAAUCAGAAUCAAGGAUAUCUUAUUGACUUUGGCCGGAUUUGGAGGCUCAAGAUAGCACCAAGGGUUAAGGUUUUUUUUUGUCAAAGUUGUGUUUGGGCUAGUUGCCUUGCAAAGCAUUAUUUCACUCAAGAGGAGUUCUUCCUAUUCAUCAGCUCGGGAGCUAGUUGUGUGCUGUGAAAUUUCAGGAUCAAGAAUACUGUAUAUUCUCCUGC
rnacentral:lncRNA from 1 species